rfam:Enterococcus devriesei strain DSM 22802 Scaffold1, whole genome shotgun sequence.
AACCAAUAACAACCUUUUCUUUUUCAUUGCAUUUAGGUAAUACUCCUUUAGCACCGAUUUGCCGAUCGGUGCUUUUUUUU